rnacentral:rRNA from 1 species
GGCUCAGAACGAACGCUGGCGGCAGGCCUAACACAUGCAAGUCGAGCGAGGACUUCGGUUCUAGCGGCGGACGGGUGAGUAACGCGUGGGAAUGUGCCCUUCUCUACGGAAUAGCCCUGGGAAACUGGGAGUAAUACCGUAUACGCCCUAUUGGGGAAAGAUUUAUCGGAGAAGGAUCAGCCCGCGUUGGAUUAGGUAGUUGGUGGGGUAAUGGCCUACCAAGCCGACGAUCCAUAGCUGGUUUGAGAGGAUGAUCAGCCACACUGGGACUGAGACACGGCCCAGACUCCUACGGGAGGCAGCAGUGGGGAAUCUUAGACAAUGGGGGCAACCCUGAUCUAGCCAUGCCGCGUGAGUGAUGAAGGCCUUAGGGUUGUAAAGCUCUUUCAG